rnacentral:tRNA from 1 species
GUCAGCGUAGCUCAGCGGUAGAGCAGUGUCUUCAUAAGGCAACGGUCGCAGGUUCGAAUCCCGCCGCUGACA